GGCAAGACAGCCUGGGGAGGCAAGGCAGACAGGAGGAUUGGAGCGCUGGUUUAAGCUGUGUUAGAAGCCUACAUGUCUGAGCUGUACCAAGAGUGCGCAGUGCUCUGUGGAGUUGUGAAACACUUGACGCGGGUCUCCUGCCAUUCUGAAUGGUCACUACCUCCAAUCAGGAACAGCAAGCAGGUACCUAGGCCGUGGCCAGCCCUGACAUCUCACUGGGCCUUUAGAUGACCUGGAGGUGGUACUAUUCAUCGACAACAUAGAAAGACAUCACUGUAACUGAGAGGUUACAACCUCUGUUGUGCAACCUGCACAAAAAGGGACGGACUGGGAGCGGGAGCCCAGGCAUGCCCAGCAGCGCGGACAGGACCACACAGGCUCGGCUGCUUCGGUGACUCAGCAGAUCCAAGCUGGGCGAGAGCUCUGUCCCAAGUGGUAACAGAGGGCAGGGCAGGCUCACGCCGGCCUCUGCCCACGCUGCCAAGCUACCAGACCCAGGAAUUCACCAUGGCACUGGGGAAGGAGCAGAGCUGUCUGAAGGAACAGUUAACCAAAGGUUAACCAUCUCUACAUGAAUGGAACUUUCCAGCACUUGGCCCCUUGCCUGCUCUGUGAGCACAAUGUGCACCUCGUGACCACUUAAUCUACCCAGGACUCCAGGGGUCUCCUCUACCAACAGGUAGGUCUGAAUGAAUCCCACCCCUGCUGAGUUCUUCUCAAAGGAAACCGAAGCAGCCUGCUUUCUUUCACUUGUUCCUUUCCUUUGAAAGAAAUUGGGGAUUGGGAGGAGGACACAAAACAGCUCUUACAAUUUUCUUUUCCUUUUCUUUUUUCUUGAGAAUUGGUCACGGCAGGAGGAUAUUCUAGGUCUAAGGCUCUGUCUGGGUUGUAAUUCCAGAGCAUUUUUCUGAGAAUGUUGAACACAGGAUCACAAUCGGGCUUCUAUUCUGUGCCCUGGAGGAAGCUUUCCGCUCUCCCUUAGAGCAAGCUCAGCAACUGUCUGCCACCCUCCCCUGCCCACCCAGGGGCGCCAGGCCUGCCCGACCCUCUGUGCUCUUUGCCAGGACUGUGAAAGGGAAAAGUAAAACCGUGUCUCAAGUCUCCCACAAAGCUACAAAAUGGGAAAAAAAAAAAAAACCCGCUGAUGGCAAAAUAAGCAAAGGAUCUGAACAGGAAAUUACAGAAGAUAAAAUGCAAAGGAAAAAACAAAACAAAACAGGAAAAUACCUCCACCCUCCUCAGGUCAAAGUUAGUGAGAGGUUAAGCUCUCUGCUUUUUGUUUGUUUUGCCUUUGUUUUUCAAGACAGGGUUUCUCUGUGUAGCCCUGGAUGUCCCAGAACUCUGUAGACCAGGCUGGCCUCAAACUCAGAGAUCCACCUGCUUCUGCCUCCCAAGUGCUGGGAUUAAAGUCUUGCAUCACCACCACCAGGCCCCUUUCUCUGUUCUUAUUAGCAAAGAAUACAUUUUAAAAAUAAAACUGGUAUCAGUGACGAUAAGAUAAAAGAAACAGGUCAAGGGCUGGAGGGAAAGCAGUUAAGAGCAGGCGCUGCUCUUGCAGCGCAUAUGGGUUCAGUCCCUGGCAGCUUACAACUGUCAAUAACUCCGAGUUCUAACUUCUAUGGCCAGGCACUACAUGGAAAUGGUACAUAUAAUAUAAAAAUAAAUAUUGCUUUGAAAAGCAAGUCAAUUCACCAUCAGACAGAGUGUAAAUAAACUGGUGUAGACAGUUGGAAAGAAAUUUGACACUACAUGUAUGUAGCAACCUUUAAAAAGGGUUAUCCCAAGCUAGGUACAGUGGCGCACACCUUUAAUACCAGCACUGGGAAGCAGAGGCAGGUGGAUCUUUGUGAGUUCGUGGUCAGCCUGAUCUACAUAGUGACCUCCAGGAUAGCCAGGGCAACAAAGAGAGAGUCUAUUUCAAAAACAAUAAAAGUGGGGAGGGGAUGGUAGUUGUGGUGGUGGUGGUGUGGUGGUGGUGGUGGUGGUGGUGGUGGUGGUGGUGGUGGUGGAGGUGGAGGUGGAGGUGGAGGUGGUAGAGGUGGUAGAGGUAGUGGUGGCAGCAGUGGCAGAGGCAGUGGUAAUACUGUGCCAUCUGUUUGCCCAAAUAAUUUCUUUUUUUUUUUUUCAGACAAGAUCCCACUAUGUAGUUCCAGCUAGCCUGGUACCAGGCUGGCCUAAGAUUCACAAAGAUAAGCCUGCCUCAGCUUCCUAAGUGCUGGGAUGAAAGGCAUGUGUCACCCACCACAGCUGUUUAAAUUAGCUGUUCCGUCUAAAGAUAUCACAUGGCACACAGUAUUCACUUAGUGGAUGUACAGGAAUUUUCUUAUUUCCUUAUAAUCAAUGAUCAAAAACAUCUAAAUAACUAUAGAGAAGUUAAGCUUUGGGUUACGUGGCUGGAGAGAUGGCUUCCAUGACUGGCAGCUUACAACUCUGAUGCCCUCUUCUGGCCUCGGUGGGUAUUACAUACACAUACACAAUAUUUUUAAAAUAAAAUUAUGGGUAUACUUAAGAUGAGAUAUUACAACAACUAUUUAAAUUAUUCUCUAGCAAACAACUUGGGAAAUACUCCUGUAAAUGUCAAGUUUAAAAAGGACACAAGAUAAGCCAGGCGUGGUGGCUUAAUCCCAGUACUUGGGAGAUAGAGGCAGGCGGAUUUCUGAGUUCGAGGCCAGCCUGGUCUACAAAGUGAGUUCCAGGACAGCCAGGGCUAUACAGAGAAACAAUAAGAAAGAAAAAAAAAAAGGACACAUGAUUAUAUAUACACUAUUCCUAACCUUAUUACAUAGCUAAAGAAGAUGCAGUGAGCGUCACCAGAAUAGCGACCCAAUUGGUGAGAUGAGUGAACUGUUUUAUUACAAAGAGUUGAUUUUUCCAUCUCUGUGUGUGAGUUAAACAUAAAUUAUUUAUGUAGUAACAUUUAGUAAAAUGUUAACAGGAAUUGUCUUUGGGGCUGAGACAAUGAGUGGUGGUUUCAUCUUUUGGUGUUCUGUCCAUUUUGAACCUUUCUAAUAUGUCUGCUGACUGUUAGACUGGGGAUCAGCUGCAAGCCUGUUGCUAUCUCCAGUGUGAAAAGGAAGAUGCAAGAUAGAGCAACAAGGGACAGAAAAUCCUCAUGACCGGCUCCACCAGAUGGGGGCCUUGUAGAAAGUUCAGUGCAAUAAAUGCUAGGGACCUCGGGCUUGCUGACAACACAGGUUUUGUGGCCAGAGCUUGUCCUCACCACAAAGACUUUUAGGUUUACAGACAAAAGAGCCAGCCAUCACCACUCUGCUGGGAUAGGCUCGGGAGCCCACCACCCCCUGCUCGGGCCUGCACACAGCUAAGUCUAUGCUGGGAUGCAGGCAGAAAGAGGGCAAGCCCAUCCAAACAAACCAGGGAAAGAGGAGAGCAGGCGGACCUUCCUUUCUGGGAGGGAAAAAACAAAACAAUGCCGGGCGGUGGUGGCGCACGCCUUUAAUCCCAGCACUUGGGAGGCUGAGGCAGGAGGAUUUCUGAGUUCGAGGCCAGCCUGGUCUACAAAGUGAGUUCCAGUACAGCCAGGGCUAUACAGAGAGACCCUGUCUCGAAAAACCAAAAAAAACAAAACAAAACAAAAAAAAAACCCCACCAAACAAACAAACAAACAAAAAAAACACCCUCCACAUGAAUGUUACAACACGAAUGUGUGACAGACUGGGCAAGAGAUGAGCAGAGAUGAGGCUGGGCUGUUCUCUGAGACCGUAUGAUUGUAAAGGGCCAGAGGAUAUCAGAAUAUCUUCUCUGGCUAACAUUGGGCACCACCGGGUAUUUGGCAUCUCCUGCAUAUCCUUUGUAAAAGGACAUUGCUCAGAGAAAUCAGAACACUUCUUUUUAUUUCAAGUCUGACCUAAGGCUUCCUCAGUUACUUCAUACAGUGUACUAGGAGAAUAUGCACACACAUGCUCAUUCCUUUCCUGCCUUCAAAGAAGCCGUGCACAAUUUGUGUGUGUGUGUGCUUUUGUUUGUUUAUUUACUUUUGUUUUUCACAUCUUCCAACACUUUAUAACCUUAUUAAACAUAUAGACACUGGUGUCUUCAGGCUAGCAGCCUGGCGACAUCAUCUUUGUCCUGGUUUAUUUACUCUUUUAUUGAGACAGGGCCUUACUAUGUUUACGUGGCCCAGGCUGUCCUUGAACUUGUGAUGGCCUGCCUUUGCUUUCCAAGUGCUAGGACUGACCACACCCAACAUUCGCACAAAUAUUUCCCACAUCUUUCACUCUCUUAAAACAGAAUCUGUCCCCAGCACUCAGGAGGCAGAGGCAGGCGGAUUUCUGAGUUCGAGGCCAGCCUGGUCUACAAAGUGAGUGCCAGGACAGCCAGGGCUAUACAGAGAAACCCUGUCUCGAAAAACAAACAAACAAACACCAGAAUCUGUCAAUAAUAUAACUAGGAGAAACUUAUUUAUAGUCAGUAAUACUCCCUGUCUGUAAUACAAGUGAAAAAUGAAUUAAAGUUGGUUAACAGAACACCCAAGUUAAUAUGUAAACACAUCUAUACACGGGACAUUAUCAAUGCACUGCAUAAUGAGACACGGGAACUUUUUAUAAAUCACCUCUACUCAUACAUUUGGCAGUGGUCGUCUUGAAAAUUCGGUAUAAAUUAAAAACAUGCAGAAAUGAUUCACUUUUGUGUAGCAUGAAGUCCGGCUCCAGGCUCAGAUCACAGACAGGGAUGCUCACCACACAUUCAGCAGCUGUGUGGAUGGACAAUCCGGCCUUCUGGAAGGAUUAUCCUUCCCACAGAUGGCCUUGUCUGCUCACAGCACCUACCAAGCCACCCAUGCAUUUCCCAAAUGCCCUCCAGGGGGCGUGUCACCCACUCAGAGCUUCAUACUACAGCCCUCCUUUUUUCAACUGACAGGAAAGGCCUAGAAAUUCAGAUAUUUAUCCAAAGCCAAACAGAAAAAUCAGUAGCUGACAGGAUUUGAAGAGAAGGAGGAAGAGGAAGGGCUCGUGGAGGAAGAAGGAAGUCACCAAGCAAAUAUUUACUCUAGAGGCACCAGACACUGUGGCAGGCAUUUUCCAUAGUACGCAGCUUUCUGCUGCAGGUAGCGAGCGCCCUGUCCACCUCAUCCUUUCAGGUGACGACACAGCAUUUCAGGGAGGUGACUCCUCUCUCUCCCCUGGAAUCCACUGUGGGGACUGUCAAGCAGAUCUUACCCAGCCCUUAGGCACCGCUUCAAGCUGUUUCCUCUGCAGAUCUCAGGGCCCUCAUAGGCUGAUGUCUCUAUAAACCUGACUGGAACACACGGAAAACAGCUCACCAAGAGAAAGAUGGCCUGGUCCUGUCCUGUCAAGCUCCCUUCGAAGCUUUUGCCUACACUUGGGGCAGGGCCUGAGUAGACGAGACACUGCAGGAAAUGCACACUGAACUCCUGCCUCCCACAUUAAGGAACUUACGGGAUUGGUGGCCAUUGAAUCCCCUUGCCUGGACAUAGCCAGGUUGCUCUGAGAAGACUGAACACUGUGUUAGAGGUUUGUAGACACUGUUCUCUGUUGUCCAACGUUAGACACGAAGGCUGUGAGUAGCCACUUUAACAAGAGGCCCCCUGUCUGUCCCACACAACCCAUAUCUGUCACCUUGACCUAAUCCCAUCACCUCAGGAGUCUUGUGAGACCUGGCUGAGCCAGGAUGACCCCACCGCUGCUGACAGCAGAGGCCUCGGUCCUUGCAGCCUUUCUAUCAAAACAAACUCUGAAGAGGUUUCAGGGAAAAGGGCUCAAUUCUGGCUCCUGACAAAUGACUUCUUGCAAAAGAAGUCAAGCAAGGCUAUCCCAAGGCUACUUAUGGACUUAUUUUUAGCAUGAUAGACGGAAGACUGUAGGUUACUGGAGCACCAGAGCUCAUAGCAUAGGCUCGGAAGUCACUGCCAGGGGCCCAACUCCAACUCUGAACCCGUCCGUGCACCUCCAUUCCUCCCUAGUGAAAUGAGGCUCCUGGCAGUGUGUACUCAAGUACAAGAGCCUGAGGAAGAUGCUUAGAACACUGAACACACAAGGCAAGUGCACACUUGCUUACCACCUCCUUGUUACUAUCAGACUGACUGCAAGUCACCUGAAGAAUGGCUAGAGGUCUGUACCCACAUACAGGCACAUAUAUGAAAUAUGUAUAUAUGUGUGUGUGUGUGUGUGUGUGUGUGUGUAUUUGUUUUUGUUUUUUUUCCCCUCCAAAGGGAUCAGAAAGAUGGCUCAGAGUGCUGUCAUGGUUUGAAUAUGCUUGGCCCAGGGAGUGGCACUAUUUGGAGAUGUAGCCUUGUUGGGUAGGUGUGUCACUAUGGGAGUGGGCUUUGAGCCCCUCAAGUCAGUCUUCUACUAGCAGCCUUUAGAUGAAGAUGUAGAACUCUCAGCUCCUCCUGCACCGGGCCUGCCUGGAUGCUGCCAUGCUCCCACCAUGAUGAUCAUGGACUCAACCUCUGAAUCUGUAAGCCAGCCCCAAUGAAAUGCUGUCCUUAGAAGAGUUGCCUUGGUCAUGGUGUCUCUUCAACACAGAGGUAAGACCUUAACUAAGGCAAGUGCAAACUGCUGUUUUGCAAAGGACCCAAGUUUGGUUCCCAGUACCCACAUUGGAUGACUUGCAGUUACCUCUAACUCCAGCUCCUGAGGAUCUAAUACCUUCUGUCUGCUGCUGGCAUCUGUGCUCACAUGCUCAUAACCACACAGAGAUACACACAUAUGCACAUAAGAUAACUCCUAAAGGAAUGGUUGGAGAGACACAUAAGAAUAGAGAAGAAGAGACUAGGAGCUGUGUUUUCCUGCUUGUGAAGUGGAGCCAUGCCAGGCCUACAGAUCUUUGUUCUGUGUGGCUACAAGGGGCAAAAGUAGGUCAAGGAGGGAACACUGGCAAGCAGACUGGAGGUCAGAAGAAAGAAGAAACUUCUACAUGCCAACGGUGUCCGGAAGAGGGAAUGGAUGUCUGGUGGCUAGGUGCCUGAGGCCAUAAGAUGGCCCAUCAUGUGCCAUAUAGGCAGGCUUGCCUGUACCAGUCCGAGGCCAGGGAAAGUGACCUCGGAUGCCCCUUCCACUGAAGCACCUAUUGCUUCAAUAAACUGUGAAAGUACUGAUGGCAAGGGUGUGGCUGGGAGGCCUAAGGAAAGCGGGGUGGACUUUGGACUGGCAGUGGCACACACAGCCCUCCCUCGGGCUUUCACUUUCUGCAGUCACAGCACCAGUGACCAGCUACGGUUCAAAGAACCAAACACAUUUCCUAAAUAACCACUGGGGUGCUGGGGUAGCAUCAGAGUGAGGCCUGGGCUAGGACAUCAUCCUGUUGACUUUCUACUUGGGGGACUUCAAGUCAGCUUCAUUUACUGGGCUGAUGGUGGAGGGGGCUCAAGUACAAAGCAGAGGGCCAGCCUAUCUCACAUGCUCUGAUGGGCCCUGGAAGCCAGGACCCUGACUUCACUUACAGCAUCCUCUCUACAAAGGAUCCAGGGUUCUUCACCUUCUGCUUUUCCCCACUGCUUCACCACACAACCACAGACACAUGCCCUAGGUCUUACCAGUGGGUACCUUCUGGGCCCACGUGCACAAAGCAAGUUCCUACGACAGAGACAGAGAAAAGACCAGGAGCAAGGGGGAGGGUGGUGGAGAAGAGAGUACUACUCCAACAGUGGGUAUCUAGGGAGCACUGCUGCCUUUAUAAACCAUAAAACUAAAAAUAAAUUUAGAACUAGGGACUAUUUGCCAACAAAUGUUGUUUGUAUUGAAACAAAACAAUUCAAGAAAAAAAUUAUAUUUCCUGAACUAUAGCUAGUGGACCAUUUUCCAAGUAUUUCCUGUACUCGUUUCUGGUCAUUCACAUAGUCUCAGCUCAGUCACUUGAGAGUGGCUGUGGGUGUCAGACAGGGAGAGAGAAAAAGACGGCACAGAAACAACUCUGGGGACACCCAGGUACUCCGUUUGCCUCUAGCAACAUCUGGUGACAUUAGGAGGAUCUCUGGCUAGGCUGGCUAAAAUUCCACUAAGUGAGACUGUACUUAGUAAGCUAGGCUGCUGGAUCUGCCCACAGCUGGAUCUGCCCAAGCCCUGGCAGGGCAGUUCAAGCCUCUCCAUUCCUCUAUCCUUUACUUCAUUCGACUGUAACCAAAUCCCACAGUUUUGGUUACAACUUCCCCCAUUCACCAAGAACCAUUCCUCACCUCAUUGUUCUUCUCCUACCAGCUUCACUUAGGCCUUUACCUCUUCCUCUAAGGUCUAAGGAGGCAGGUUGGCCUGCCUCCUUCCUCUAAGACAAUGGCCUCCAGCAUUGUCCACUAAUAGUCUCUUAAUAGUCACCUCCUUCGGAAAGGUCUCUGGUGGGCCCCUGCCCCUCUCAGCCUCAGGGCAAGAAAGAGACACAGGUUUCACACACCAAGUCCAGUUCACUGGCAUUAGUGACCAGAAAGAAUUAACCUCUGCUGAGGUGGGGUUGGCAGGACUCAUGCUACCCACCAGCUGUCUAACAAAAAGGCACUCUGUGGGACCCAGGGUGCCUGGUCCUGGCUAUGCACCAGUUGUUGGCUCUCGUCUAUAGCCCUAUGCAAUUCCCUCAGGCAUCCCUAGAGUCUCAGGGUCCACCCCCACUGUGCCCACUGAUGUCUGCCCCAUGCGUGCCUCCUCUACAUGCACAGCACAUGUGCUGCACCUGCUUCCACGAGGAAACGUUACAGCGACCAUAGAGCUUCUCUGUGGGAGGGGACGUCAAGGAUCAACCGAAGUCACCUUUGUCAGAAUUCCCAUUCUUGUCAUCCCUAGCACAUGACUAAUGGUGUCCAUUGUAACUCAUUCUUCCUACCCAUCAAAACUAUUCAACUCCCUUAGUGUCUUUGUCUUCUAGGAUUGUGACCCCCACUCCACCCCCAGAGGUGCAAAACACAAAUCAGUUUAGUCAUUGGUCCUGAGUGUCUGUCACACAAAAGGGCACUGUUGGGAGCUUAGGAAGCUUGGAGCUCCCCCCACCCCAGUACCCCUUCUGCUGUGACUUACUUUAAUCUGGGCAGCAUCCCCUCUGGAAUAGUGAUUACAGUAUGGUGGGACUGAACCUGAGGGUCUCUGCAGAUCCUCCUGGCUUUAGCUACAAGACCACAGCCAAAAAUGCACAGGCUUUGGGCUUCCUGAGACUACAGGGUAACAUUCACCCAGUGCUGGGCCCACAAGACAACACAACCCCAGUGGUUCCUCAGGGUGGCACAGAUCUGCUGCUGCAAUGAGCCAGACUCCUGAAAUGGGUGGUUAGAAUAUUGGGAUCUGUGUGUGUGUGUGUGUGUGUGUGUGUGUGUGUGCAGCUAAGUAUAAGGGACAAUGAAGAGUGAUUUUUAUCUCCCUCCGAGGACGCAGAAGUGCGCCACGCUAUAUUUAUCCCUUCUGUCUCCUGAUUUAGACCAGAAGUUUUUCCUGAUCAGUCCUCACUUGCCAAUACUUUCACUCUACAUCUAAAUGAAGAACCGAAGUCAUGUAAGUUCACAGACUCAAUGGACAGCUGAUUUACAAAGCCCUUCGAGAGUGGCUGCAGGCUGAUGCUGGCAACCCCAUAAUUAGAUUCUGCAAGCUUUGCAGUGAUUUUUUUAACUGUUUUUUUAAUAACUCAGUCUUCCUUCUGGGAUGAAGGGAAAGAUAGAAUUUGUUAAAAUUAAAUUGAGAUUUAGUGGCUUUUCAGCCUUCUGCUGCUCGGUGCUCUAAAUAUUCUAUAAAUAAGAGAAGCCCUGCCCUAUAGUGCACUGUAAACACCCACAGACACUCAGAGCCAAAUUCUUCCAAUUAUGACCCUGUGCCUGUUGCCAAGCUACUGCAAGGACCUACUUGAAAGGCAGCCAUCUAGGCCAUUUCCUGAUUAAGCUGCCUGUAGCAAGGAAUCCAGGCCUGCUGCUCUGGCCUCACAGCCAGUCCCAAAUAACAGAUCUGUGUUCCUGAAUUAAGCCUUUUCCUUGUGAUAGAAUUACAAUUCAAAGGUUACUGCAAAACUCACUAUGCGCCCAACCAUCCUUUGGCCUGGGCUGGGUGUCCAUUUAAGAUGGAGGGCUGUCACACUGAGACUUUUAAAAUCAGGCAGCCGAAGUGCAGUCCCAGCAGCAUUUCUAAUUGUGUUCAACAAAUCAAGGUCAAACAAAAGUAGGUCAGCUGUCAACAUGACAGGUGAGUCAGAUACUGCAGGCCCUGCUGUACAGCUGCUUCGUGAACAGCAGGGGGCACCACUACCCAGUGCAGAGACUCAAAUGGUCCUUCAACAAGUCCUCACCACACCCUAAGCAGUGGUGCAUGGGGCAGGGUCCUGGGUUUACUGAUUAGCAGCUCAAACAUCAGUGCUUUCUGGCAUUCACCAGACUGCAGAGCCCUUAAAGGACUGCCUAAGAAGCAGUCUGUGAGCGCCAUGUGUCACUGAGAUUACUUCCAGCUCCUUAGAAACCAGGAUGCUCCAAGCAGUGUGGAGCAAAAUGAGCUCAGGCUAGAAUAGAAGCAAUCUGCCUCCCAACAGGAGGCUCCCUGCUCGCUGGUGGCUCACUUGGGUGUGGACUCAAAGGGCAUCAUCUGAGGCCAGUGAGAUGCUCUGGGAGCCAGUUCCCACCCCAGAAGGGAAGGAUCCACUCUGAAUGGCAGCCUCUUGGUGAGCUGGCACCUCUCAAAAGAGAACUGAGGUGUUAAUGUGGGCCGGCUCCCAAAACUCAUAGUGUAGACCAAUAUAGUUAUAGGGACAGGGUUUCGAAGUGGACCUCCAGGAAUGCUGGGAAGCGGGGGCCACAAAGCACUGAACCCCUUCAGAGAGGCCUCAAACCAAAGUGGUCCUUUCCACCAUUGUAUGUGUCACAGGGUUCUAUUAUCUAUUAACUGUUAACAUGUACAUAUGAGUGUUUGCUCUUAGCCCCUGAGCAUUAGGUCAGAGACACUCUCUCUGCUUUGCUUGGUUCCCUCGGCAGAGUCACGGCAACAUCUCUGGCCUUCAGUGAGUACUCUGUACAUACCCACAGAGGAAAUGAGCAUGUGCACAGACCUCAGCAGGGGUCUGGAACAGGAGAGCCCCCAUGCAAUGCUAUGAAACUGGUCUUUGUGCACAAUGGGAUAAAGCAAAGUUCAGGGAGGGUGCCUGUCUGCUCAUCUUUAGUAAGCAAUGGGGAUGAAUUUGAAAGCCAGGCAUGCAACAUUCCAACCCUGCUUCUACAGUGAGCACCCACGGCUUUUAGAAUCUAGAAGCAGCAAAGAGUAACAACCUUUGAGGAGGAACCCACUCGUCAGGAAGAACUUUUCCAUCAACCACCUAAUUAAUAUACGCCAGGCUCAGCUCCUGCAACCCAAAUCCAGGUCCCGACCCAUCUUCAGAAGCACUGACAACCACAGCCGGAGCAGGGUGGAGAAUUCUGGGCCUCCUCUCUGGUGGUGACAGUCAUCAUAGCCGUCGCUGUUAGCAACAGCAGGCUACUCCACGGUUCUCUGGAACAGUUCCAAAGAAAGGCCCGCAGGCAAGUCUGGGCCUGGCAGUGGUAAGGUCCUUGGAAUUUGCCGUUUCCCAACCCAAGAAUCAGACACUUGAAUAGAUAAGAGGGAGAGAGGGGAACACAAUGUUUAAAACUGAAAUCCCCCAAGUCUUUAAGUUGACAAGUGGCAACUGGAGUUGACCUGAAUUGAGAACAUUAAUCUCUGCAGAAGCUAAGUUUAUCCCCAUUAUAAUCUAUACACCACAACAACACUCCAAUCCAUCUGAUAUUUUGGGCCGAGCACCCCCACGCACACCAGGCUGUCUGCUAGUUGCAAGCUCUGCCUUGAAUUCAUGUGCAAAGCAGCAGGUGCAGCUCACCAAACGGCCAGGCUAGCGCUAGUACGUGAAUCCAUUUCCCAAUUAUGAGAAAUAAAUGCAAGUCGCAAAUGUCAUCAGAAGCAGGUAUUUCCAAAUGCUACCAAGACGUGCUACGGCCCUUAGACACAGCAUCCUUUAGAUGUGCUAAGCCCUCCACAGUUGCCAAGGAGCAAAGACAUGGAGACAGAGAGUACACAGCCUGACCCUGGGUAUGGAGGUGCAGCUGGAAGUGGCAGGCUUGAGGGCAGUCCCUGAUGAAAGAGCCAGGCUUGUGGGUACUUUUCUUCUUUUGGGGGCGUGUUUACAAACACUACCAGCUUCACAAGGUAAUCCUACACACACACACACACACACACACACACACACACUCCCUGAAAGGAUAAGGAGUUCCAUACUUUCUUCUGUCACUUUUGUGACACUUAAUUUAAGUCAACCCUACAACAUAAAUGACCACCCAGGAGGAACCUGCUUCUCACAGCACAUGGAUUGACAAUGACGAGUAUGGGAAAUUGUACAAGCUCCUAUGUGGACAAUCCAACCAUGGAGGCUUUUUUAGUCAGUGGCAAUACACAAUGACGAUGUUAGCUACCCAAGCUUAGCUUAGCCAUUUGUCCUAUGAUACGGACAAAUGGCGCACCCAGAGAAAGAACAGGAAUGCCAACAUGGGGACCAGAAGUUCCCAGACAAGAGGAACUUGGGAACAGCAGUAUGGGACAGGGUAAAAGGAAUGCAGGGUGCUACCUGUGCAGUGAUGUUAAUAGGAUAUUAAUGGUGAUAAUAAUCAUAGCUGCAAUGUGCUAUCAGUGACUGACAGAGCAAUAUUUAACUCACUGUAAGCAGUAAGUGUAUGUUAUUUCCUUUCUUUCCUUCUUUGUGUUUGGUGGAGGGAGUGAGGCAGUACCUUGUGUAGCCUAGGCUGGCCUCAAACGGACUCUACAUCCCAGGAUGGCCCUAAGCUCCUGCUCUUCCUGCCUCCACCUGCCAAACACUGGGAUUACGAGGCAUUCAGCCACCACACCUGGGAGAGGGUAUUUCAUUUAAUUUUCACAGUAAGUCUAUGGACCCUCUCUAGGUUACGUCCAUUUUCCAGAUCUGGAAAGAGAAAAUUGAAGAGACUGGAGUAGCAUUCCCAAGGGCUACAGUGAGCUGAGGUUCAGCUGCAAUCCAUCUGGUUCUGAGUCCAUGCUCUUAAGGAUGGCAAGGGCUAGCAGAACGCACAUGAGCUGUUUCACACCACAGUUAGCACCCUGGAAGCACUCAGAUGUAGCUGCUUAUGCUAUCUCUAUGCCACAGGGACCAGAAGGGAUGGCAGAGGCAAGAGGUGGCCUCUACAGACAGUGGCAUUUUGCUUCACGGGGCUCAGCAUAACCACUGGAGACUUUGGAGCAAGGCCUAAGAAACUAGGAUGCAGCCAGACUUAAGAGGUGCAGGCCUGUCAAGAGGCUAAGACAGGGAUACUCUGAGUUCAAGACCUGCACCCCUAUUAAGUGAACUAAAUUAAGGGUAAGACUGGGCUUCCUCAGAGAUAAUCGACUAUCAUCACAACUGGAGAGGACUAGGUUCUUAGAGAAAAAAAAAAAUAGCUCUCAUCUAUAGAGGUGUUUUCCCAGACUGCCCCUUAGAGUGCUCUGCACAGAGCUACCCAAUGCUCUGCAUGAUGCUCCUCAGAGAGGUGCUCAGAGAGCCAAUAGCCUUACAUAAAAUACAUCCUCAGUGCACGUUUUCAUGGAGAGAAAAACAGCAGGGCGAGCUAGUUACCUGCCUCUCUCCAUACCAGCUCACCCCACCACACUAUCCCAACACAAAUCACAGAUCCUCAGAGAGUCUCCCAGUCCUGUCAUCUGUUGCCUCAGCAUUGAUUUCCUGGACCGUUCUACCAGCCUUUGAAGACUUGCUGCCACCUCCCUCCCACAGUCCAGCCCCCACACUGCCACCAGCUGGCUUUCUAAAAUAAAAGUGUUGACCAACAUCACUCACCUCCUGAAAAAUGUCUGCUGGAACCACAAUACCGGAACAGACACCAUGUUGGUAUAUAUGCUAAUUCAGCCACAGACUCAUCACAGCUCAUCUUUAAAGCCCCCGAGGAGUGGGAAUAACAAACAAGGACCCUCCUUCUGGAUUUCUGGUCUAGAGAAAUACAAUGCACAGUAUACAAGAAGACAAAGUAGUGAUGACUGGUAAUGGAAAUUAACCUGAUUGUAAGGACAGGUCAAUGGCUGGGUAGACUAAGGAGAGGGAACAGGGUUGUUUUGUUUUGUUUUUAAAGUAUUUUAAAAGACAGACGAGAAAUUACUUGAAUGGAAACCAGACCAGAAAAGUCUGAGUGUUAUGUAACAGUUUCCUCUGAGAUUGAAACAUUGUAUCCUACAGGGAAGCUCCUUAAGCAGGGAGAUAAACAACUCAAAAUAGUGACAGGAAGUCCCUGAAACUAACCAGAUUCAUCAGGUACCUCCCCAUCAGAGUAAACAAUAAAAGCUGAUCGUUCCUCUCAGAAGAGGCGAAGCCAGCUGCAAAGAAGACUCAAAACAAGCAAAGCUGCAAAAACUGGGAUGAGACGUGCUGCCUGGAAGAAGCUCAACCAGCCAAGCUGCCUGGAAGAAAUUUGGACCAACUGAAAGACCUGGAAAGGAUGCUCUCCAAUGCGUUGAGCUGUCAGCAGGCUGUGCAUUGUGUUCCAGGUUCCCAGCUUUAUAAGCUGUCACCUAUGCUGGGGUGGACUUUGGUAAUGCAGCCCUUUGAGUCAUUUCUGCUCCUGUAAGUAAACCUAAUAAAACUCAUUGGCCCACCAA